rnacentral:rRNA from 1 species
AUGCUUCCAAAGAUUGAAAUGCCUACACCACAUGAUCAACAACAAUUGAACAUGCAAACAUAUACAAGGCCGAAGUCUCAUGGCCAUAGUAAGGAAAGGACUAGGAUGAGGAGAGCAUACCAAGUCCCCAACGCCGAGACCACUCACCGGCUGUCCUUCAACGCUCUCAAAUGCGGCGUAAUACUUGUUACACUCUUGUUGGAUGAACAACCACCUCUUUUGAAUCGAGGUGAUGCCACGGUUGCUUAUGAUUUGGUAGGGCUCAAACAUGUUCCUUUCAUGGAAUGUUGUGUGGACUCUCAUCCAAAAAACAAGACCCUUUUGUUGCGCGCCGGUCUUUGGAUUUUGGCUAAUCUUCAUCCAACAUUGGCAAAUCAACUUGUCCUCAUCUUGGGUAUAUGA